AAUACUUUAUGGUUCAGUGACUUUAAUUCAUGUUGAAUAUAGAUGUUUUUGUGAGGUUAAAUAACGUUGUUUUGUUAUUAUCAUAUGAUUUGUGAAAUUAGUUUUCUAUCUCUCGUGGUAGCGCUUUAUCGAACAGGUUUUCGAGUAGAAAAUGAUUUUUAAAAGGUUUUAUUGUGAAAAUGUAAAUAUAUGUUGUGUUGUGAAUGAUUGUGGUUGUACUUGUACUCGUGCGACGCCGUGUAAAUAUAAGGGAGGCCUUGUCCGUGUGAUCAGUGAGUUUCCUAUAUUUGUGGCAUGUUUGUUAUACCUUGGGUCAAGGUUUUCAAAAAAAAAAAAGGUUUCGGCAUGUUUUCGCUGUCUAACCUCAAAAAGGGGACCCCGAGGCAUGGCAAGGAAAUGAUAAAAAAAUUGAUGAAGAGAGGAAGAAAGAAUAAAUAGAAAAGACAAAAAGAGAAAACCAAUAGAGAAAAGCAGAAGACGAAAAGGAAAAAAAAAGAAGGAAGAAGAGAAAAGAGUGAGAGGAGAAGAACAUAAAAGAAAAGAAGAAGAAGAAGAACAGAAGAGAGAGAGAAAGGAAGGAAGAGGAAUAUAGAAAGAAAAGAGAGGAGUUUAGAGUAAUAGAAGAAGUAGAUGUAGACUU
rnacentral:lncRNA from 1 species